rnacentral:lncRNA from 1 species
AGGGUACCCGUCAUGUGACCAGUGCCUUUUGAUUUACACAUCCAGAUGCCACCUGGUCACAGUGGGUGCUGGGUUUAUUUGUUUCAAAAGCACAGAUAUGUAAAAACAUAAUGAGGUUGGCAGAAGUAAGCAGAGGGAUAAAAUAAACCAAACUUGAUCAAAGCAGCAGGGUGCCAGUGCUACCUGUCCUCAGGGUAGGAGAGCGUUAUCUUACUCAUACUUUAUAAAAUCAAAGAGUAGAGGCUUUCCCUCCUGUCCACCAAAUCACAGCCAAUGACAGAACCACAGGGUUGCCACGCUGCAAACGGCUAUUUUCCUCCCCAGUAAUGGGUACUGCAGUGAAAGCCUGAUGGCACUUGACCCCGAAUAGCUGUCAGGCUAAUGCAAUGCUGAGGACAAACUAUUUCAGAUGACGUCAUUUUUCACCCCUGUUAAGUCCCCAACCCAGGCUGCAGGCUGAGCCAAAGCCCUUCAGGUCCACCAUGGUUCAGCUGCCUCUCCCCUGAUGUCCUUUGAACUGGGGACUUGCUGUCCUCUGGGAAGCAUGGCCCUGAUCAGUGCUGGUGGCAUCCUGGAUGCUUAGUCAUGUGGCUACCUUGUAUGUUUCCUCAACACAGUCAAAAACCCUUUUCUCAGUGCCCAGAAAAAAAAUAGCAUCUGGUCUUCAGGUGACUCCAAGCCCACAGUGUUUUCUGCUCUGGAACGAGCCUUCAGCUGUCCCCUCACUGUCCCUCCCUGUGCUGCUCAGCUUCAACAGCAGGUUGAGCAACUGGAGGGCUGAGAAGGGCCUUCCAGGGACUUCACGUGUCUACAGUCACUGGGUACAAGACAGCUAUUUAGAGCUGCUACCGCAGGUGUGCCCUCUCAAGAUUAGAAAGGUCUGGUCAAAGACCAGGCAUCUUGAAAGCUUUGACAUCAGCUUUCUGGAGGAUGGGUAAAGAAGGAUGCUUUUUUAGACUCUGUCUAGAAGUCAUGGGAAAGACAGGCAUGGCUGUGGCCAAGUCUGUGGGAAGCGCACCUCUGACCUUGUUGGAACUGUUGCCAGUGUGGUGACGUGCACUGUACAUGCCCCAAGUGUAGCUGGGGUGUUAAUGAUCAAGAAUGAUGGGAGGAUCCCUUGAGUCCUAGUAGGUUUCAUUAUGUCACAUGAAUUCUCGAGGUCAUGUUGUAGUGUAGCUCAGGGUGGGCUGGGAUGCUUUGUGGAAUGCUCUGGGAAGCCAGAGUGAACUCUCCAAAAAAAAAAUCUCAUUUAUAGCCGUAGAGGCUGGUUUGAAUUACUCUGGUAGACAGGGUGUGUCUGACACAGGGCUGAGACAUCUGUAUAUUCUGAGUCCUUGAACCUUCCUGGUGGGCAACAGCAGGGGUAGGUCCUGGGAGCAGAUACUCUAGAGAUGAAUUUGCCUCAAGGAUGAAUAUGAGACCCCAGAGUAAACUGGAGACAGAGGGGGCUGUGGAGGGCAGAAGGUCCUGGGAACAUUUACAGACAAGAGUGGAGUUCUGUUACUAUGCAGACCCUGGGCAUCCACUCUUGGAAAUGAAUAGCUGGCCACCACCAGGAAGGUCUGUCCCUCCUAAGCAGGCAGUCCCUUUGUGAGGGACAGUGGUGGCUCUGUUCCUCACCUCCAGUGUCAUUUUCCAUUGUGAUUGGUAUUUGUUUUAGGCCCUUGCUAAGUCCUCCUUUCUGUCUUUCUCUCUCCAAUCUCACUUUGCGGCCGCCAGUACGUUUCAGCCUUCCAGUCCUACACCCACUUCUUGGCUGACACUUCUGUUCUAAGGUGACUGAUUUUCUUGGCAAUUUUCAGAGAGAGGUACUAACCCCUAACCCGCUUUCUGCGCCCCAUCCUCUGCGUGCGUCGGUGGUCCUGGUUGUGCUAACUGUGAGUGUCUUGCCUACUAAUAUGGACUCGCUAGAGGCAUGAAUGGUAAAGAGCAUGGGGCGGGGGUCAGCUUGAAAGCCACGUUCUGCCUCCCCUUCUUUGGAGCCCAGCCAGCAGCCUGGGUCCACAACAAGUGCAUGCCCCAUGCCACUUCUCCUCUGCACCAUGGGCUGGCUUCUUUGCAUGUUGCGCUUUCAAAACCUUUUGUCUUCCUGGGAGGGUUCACCAUGAUUGUGAGACAAUACCGAGGGCUCUUGUCACCUUUCAAAACAUUUCUACGUAGUAACCUCUGAAAAAAAGACAUGUCUAGGCAUAUCUUCUUCAACCCAUUCUAAUACAAAGAUUACUAAUGCCUUUAAUUGAGACCAUAAGUGACUCAGUUUGGUGAAGUUUUAAAAGUAUACUUUUUUUCCCCAGACUCCAAGGCCAGCUUGACCCAUGCUCUCUGUGCUGUGAAUAUAAUGACAAUAGCGAGCCCUUGCCCUGGUUCAGCAUAGUUAGUCCUAGGGCCUUACUAUGCCUUUCACGUGCCUCUGGGCUCUUAAGUCCCUUACUGUUCCACAAGCUUUAAUCGGAGCAGUUGUGGUCACAGGAGAAGGUCAGCCACUGUUGAUGCUCCUGUCAAUCUGUGGAAAGGGCAUAUUGUCUCUGCUCAUUUACCUGGAGCAGUGCACCAGUCAUGUGCAAGAAGCAGUCACAACGGAGGGCAGAGAGCAGAUGAGAGUCCAGCCCCACAUUUUCAGACUGCAGCCAGAAUCCCCCUCACGUGCAGCUAGGGCCACCCUGCUCUCCAGCUUCCGCCCAGUCCUGCAUGCCGCACUUGCCUGCUGUGUUGGCACAGAGCCCAGCCAGUACAAAGUCCUCUCCUCUCCUCUUUUCUUCUCUUCCAGCAUUCCCCUCUCUAAAAUGUCAACCAAAGAGAGCCUCUCCCUCCCCCCAUCCCACUCCCGCGCCCCCCCUCAGCCCCUUUAGACAGUCUCCUCCCCAUCUCUCAGCAAGGCAUGUCUCUGACCCUAGAGAAUUCAUUUACAGUGCCAUAUGGAACCCUGUAUUUUACACACACAGCAAACGAUGUUUAGGUUUAUUUAUGAUAUUUGAUGCUGUAAAUGAAAAUAAAUAUGGUUCUUUAU